GCGGCUAUGGUGUAGUAGCAGCACAGCUCUCUGUGGAAGAGCUAGCACGGGUGCAAAUCCCGUUAGUCGCCCCA
rnacentral:tRNA from 1 species